GAAUGAACGAGUACUUCUCUGCCAUAUUUGCAUUAAAGCGUGAAGGAAAGUGGAGGUUCUAACUCGGCAAUAAUCAAAAGAUUCUAGAAUAAUCUAGAGAUCUCGUAAUUCCAUAAUGAGAGCAAAGUGGCGAAAGAAGAGAAUGCGUAGGCUAAAACGCAAAAGGAGGAAGAUGCGUGCAAGGUCUAAGUAAAUUUUGCACCUAUAACCUCUCUGUAAAAGUAACAUCAUCAUUCAGAUCAACUUGAAUAAGGUUAUUUCAAAAAUUAAUGUAAUGUUUCUCGCACAGAGAGUCUUCUUUUAUUAAUGUACGUAUCUUAUACGCUUUAAUAAACUGAUCAUUU